AUUGAACGCUGGCGGCAGGCCUAACACAUGCAAGUCGAGCGAGCGGCGGACGGGUGAGUAAUGUCUGGGAAACUGCCUGAUGGAGGGGGAUAACUACUGGAAACGGUAGCUAAUACCGCAUACCAUCAGAUGUGCCCAGAUGGGAUGAGCUAGUGGGGGGGGUAACGGACCACCUAGGCGACGAUCCCUAGCUGGGCUGAGAGGAUGACCAGCCACACUGGAAAUGAGAGACGGUCCAGACGCCUACGGGAGGCAGCAGUGGGGAAUAUUGGACAAUGGGCGUAAGUCGGAUGCAGCCAUGCCGCGUGUGUGAAGAAGGUCUUCGGGUUGUAAAGCACUUUCAGCGGGGAGGCGUUACCCGCAGAAGAAGCACCGGCUAACUCCGUGCCAGCAGCCGCGGUAAUAC
rnacentral:rRNA from 1 species